ACUCAAAUGAAUUGACGGGGGCCCGCACAAGCGGUGGAGCAUGUGGUUUAAUUCGACGCAACGCGAAGAACCUUACCCAGGCUUGACAUGCACUAGACGGGUGUGGAAACACACCUUCCCUUCGGGGCUGGUGCACAGGUGCUGCAUGGCUGUCGUCAGCUCGUGUCGUGAGAUGUUGGGUUAAGUCCCGCAACGAGCGCAACCCUUGUCCCUAGUUGCUAACGAGUAAUGUCGAGCUCUCUAGGGAGACUGCCGGUGAUAAACCGGAGGAAGGUGGGGAUGAUGUCAAGUCCUCAUGGCCCUUACGCCUGGGGCUACACACGUGCUACAAUGGCCGGUACAAAGGGUCCCGAAACCGCGAGGUAGAGGCAAUCCCAAAAAACCGGUCUCAGUUCGGAUUGCAGUCUGCAACUCGACUGCAUGAAGUUGGAAUCGCUAGUAAUCGCUGAUCAGCAGGCAGCGGUGAAUACGUUCCCGGGCCUUGUACACACCGCCCGU
rnacentral:rRNA from 1 species